rnacentral:rRNA from 1 species
UACGUAGGGUGCGAGCGUUAAUCGGAAUUACUGGGCGUAAAGCGUGCGCAGGCGGUUAUGUAAGACAGAUGUGAAAUCCCAGGGCUCAACCUUGGAACUGCAUUUGUGACUGCAUAGCUAGAGUACGGUAGAGGGGGAUGGAAUUCCGCGUGUAGCAGUGAAAUGCGUAGAUAUGCGGAGGAACACCGUUGGCGAAGGCAAUCCCCUGGACCUGUACUGACGCUCAUGCACGAAAGCGUGGGGAGCAAACAGG